rnacentral:misc_RNA from 1 species
GAUGAAGAACGCAGCGAAAUGCGAUAAGUAGUGUGAAUUGCAGAAUUCAGUGAAUCAUUGAAUCUUUGAACGCACAUUGCGGCCAUAGGUAUUCCUUUGGCCAUGCCUGUUCGAGCGUCAUUUACACCCUCAAGCCUAGCUUGGUGUUGGGCGUCUGUCCCGCCGUUUUCGCGCGCGGACUCGCCUCAAAGUCAUUGGCGGCGGUCGUGCCGGCCCCCUCGCGCAGCACAUUUGCGCUUCUCGGAGGCCCGGCGGAUCCGCGCUCCAGCAAGACCUUUCACGACUUGACCUCGGAUCAGGUAGGGAUACCCGCUGAACUUAAGCAUAUCAAUAAGCGGAGGA